rnacentral:rRNA from 1 species
GACGAACGCUGGCGGCGUGCUUAACACAUGCAAGUCGAACGGAAAGGCCCUGCUUUUGUGGGGUGCUCGAGUGGCGAACGGGUGAGUAACACGUGAGUAACCUGCCCUUGACUUUGGGAUAACUUCAGGAAACUGGGGCUAAUACCGGAUAGGAUCUACUGCUGCAUGGUGGGGGUUGGAAAGUUUCGGCGGUUGUGGAUGGUCUCGCGGCUUAUCAGCUUGUUGGUGUGGUAGUGGCUUACCAGGGUUUCGACGGGUAGCCGGCCUGAGAGGGUGACCGGCCACAUUGGGACUGAGAUACGGCCCAGACUCCAACGGGAGGCAGCAGUGGGGAAUAUUGCACAAUGGGCGGAAGCCUGAUGCAGCAACGCCGCGUGCGGGAUGACGGCCUUCGGGUUGUAAACCGCUUUCGCCUGUGACGAAGCGUGAGUGACGGUAAUGGGUAAAGAAGCACCGGCUAACUACGU